AGUCUCACUCUGUUGCCCAGGCUGGAGUGAAGUGGUGUGAUCUCAGCUCACUGCAACUUCCACCCACUGGGUUCAAGUGAUUCUCCUGCCUCAGCCUCCUGAGUAGCUGGGGUUAUAGGCACCUGCAACCUUGCCAGGCUAAUUUUUGCAUUUUUAGUAGAGACGGGGUUUCACCAUGUUGGCCAGGCUUGUAUCGAACUCCUGACCUCAGGUGAUCCACCCGCCUCAGCCUCGCAAAGUGCUGGGAUUACAGGUGUGAGCCACCACAUCCGGCCACAAGGGGACUGACUUCUAAAAGUUCAUGGAAAAUGCAUUUAAUGAGAAAACUAUGUGUAGAUUUCAAAUUUUUUUUGCACUAAAAGAAGCUCAUACUAAUUUGUUAUAGCAUGUCUGAACGGGAUCUCCUUGAGGCACUAAGAAGGAUGAAAUAUCAGUUUGAAAAGAGCCUCUAUCAGAGCAACAUGAAUUCUGCUAAAAUUGAAGAAAGAGCAAAUAUCAAAUUGAUGGUGAGGCUUGGGUGGAAGAAUGGUGACAUUAUUGAUGCUUUAUGAAAAAUAUAUGGGGACAAUGCACCCCCCAAAAUCAGCAGUUUACAAAUGGAUAACUCAUUUUAAGAAAGGACGAGGUGAUAUUUAAGAUAAAGCUCACCAUGGCAGACCAUCCACAUCAAUCUGUGAGGAAAAAACUCAUCUUGUCCAUGCCCCAAAUGAAGAGGACUGGUGUAACAGCACAAACAGAAGCCAACACAAUAGGCAUCUCACUUGGUUCAGCUUACACAGUUAUGACUGAAAAAUUAAAGUUGAGCAAACUUUCCAUUUGAUGGAUGCCAAAACUGUUGAGGCCAGAUCAGCUGCAGACAAUGGAAAUUUUACACAAGUAGGAUCAAGAUCCUGAAGCAUUUCUUUGAAGACCUUAUUAAAAUGUCAUCAACAAGAGGGCUCAAAGUUGUCAUAGAGCAUUCACUGUUGAUUCUGAACUAGCCCUUGGGUAACUGAGCUAAGCCAGUAGUGCUAGGAGUGUAAGGAUACUAUUUAGUCUUAAUCUCAGCUUUUCCAGCCCUUCUUUCUGAGGCAAUUUUUCUUUUCUUUCUUUUUUUUUAAGAUGGAGUUUCGCUCUUGUUGCC
rnacentral:lncRNA from 1 species